GCUGCAAUUGUUGGUGGCUCAAAGGUAUCAACCAAGAUUGGAGUGAUAGAAUCCCUCCUGGGGAAGGUUGAUAUCCUCAUAUUGGGUGGAGGAAUGAUGUUUACUUUCUACAAGGCACAAGGGCAUUCAGUUGGGUCAUCCCUUGUGGAGGAAGACAAGCUUGAUCUUGCUACUUCCCUUAUUGAAAAGGCCAAGGUUAAGGGAGUAUCUU
rnacentral:misc_RNA from 1 species